AACGAACGCUGGCGGCAUGCCUAACACAUGCAAGUCGAACGAGACCUUCGGGUCUAGUGGCGCACGGGUGCGUAACGCGUGGGAACCUGCCCUUAGGUUCGGAAUAACUCCCCGAAAGGGGUGCUAAUACCGGAUAAUGUCUUCGGACCAAAGAUUUAUCGCCUUUGGAUGGGCCCGCGUUGGAUUAGCUAGUUGGUAGGGUAAAAGCCUACCAAGGCGACGAUCCAUAGCUGGUCUGAGAGGAUGAUCAGCCACACUGGGACUGAGACACGGCCCAGACGGCUACGGGAGGGAGGAGUAGAGAAUAUUGGACACUGGGCGAAAGCCUGAUACAGCCAUGCCGGGUGAGUGAUGAAGGCCUUAGGGUUGUAAAGCUCUUUUACACGGGAUGAUAAUGACAGUACCGGGAGAAUAAGCUCCGGCUAACUCCGUG
rnacentral:rRNA from 1 species